rnacentral:rRNA from 1 species
CGUGUAGGUGGGAUUCCAAGUCAGAUGUGAAACUCCGCGGCUCAACUGCGGAACUGCAUCUGAAACUGGGAUUCUUGAGUGCUGGAGAGGAAAGCGGAAUUCCUAGUGUAGCGGUGAAAUGCGUAGAUAUUAGGAGGAACACCAGUGGCGAAGGCGGCUUUCUGGACAGUAACUGACACUGAGGCGCGAAAGCGUGGGGAGCAAACAGGAUUAGAUACCCUGGUAGUCCACGCUGUAAACGAUGGAUACUAGGUGUAGGAGGUAUCGACCCCUUCUGUGCCGGAGUUAACACAAUAAGUAUCCCACCUGGGGAGUACGGCCGCAAGGUUGAA